rnacentral:lncRNA from 1 species
CAGUCGAAUGGAGUUCGGAGACAGCUGAGCAUGACAGAGACCAUAAUAAUCAAAAAAAAAUUGGAUGAACUCCAGAAUCGAGAAUUGAAGAUUAGUUUGAAGGUCCUCGACAUAAAAUGCGAUCUGAUCCAGAGGAGGAGAGUUCACCCGACCGUUCGAACCAGGGGCAGAAAGCUGAUACUACUCUGAGAUAUAGUAUUGUUUUUGGAGCCAUUCAACAUUAGGUCCGG